rnacentral:rRNA from 1 species
CUACGGGUGGCACCAGUGAGGAAUAUUGCACAAUGGGGGGAACCCUGAUGCAGCAACGCCGCAUGGAGGAUGACGCAUUUCGGUGUGUAAACUCCUUUCAUAUGUCAAGAAAAUGACGGUAGCAUAUGAAUAAGCACCGGCUAACUCCGUGCCAGCAGCCGCGGUAAUACGGAGGGUGCAAGCGUUACUCGGAAUCACUGGGCGUAAAGGACGCGUAGGCGGGUUGGAAAGUCAGGUGUGAAAUCCUACAGCUUAACUGUAGAACUGCACUUGAAACUUCUAAUCUAGAGUAUGGGAGGGGGAGAUGGAAUUAGUGGUGUAGGGGUAAAAUCCGUAGAUAUCACUAGGAAUACCUAAAGCGAAGGCGAUCUCCUGGAACAUUACUGACGCUAAGGCGUGAAAGCGUGGGGAGCAAACAGGAUUAGAUACCCGGGUAGUC